GUGAAUCAUCGAAUCUUUGAACGCAAAUUGCACUCUCUGGCAUUCCGGAGAGUAUGCCUGUUUGAGGGUCAGUUUAAAUAAAAAUCGAGGUGUUGCUGUUUUCGCGGUGACAUUCGUCGGAAAUUGGGUCAUCUUAAACCUUUGGGUUUUAAGCGGCUUAAAAUUUUCUUUACGAUUCCACGAACGUUUCUAAGAUAUUUACUUCUUACACGUUUAAGGUAUCGAUCUUUAUUAGACGUGGCCGUUGCAUCGGAUCACGUCCAUAAAUAUUUCGUUAACUGACUUUAUACAGGUAAGAACA
rnacentral:misc_RNA from 1 species